CUUAGAGGUAAACGAGUGGAGCCGAAAUUGUUCUACGGGAUUCAGUUGGGUGAAUGAUAAUGAUUGAACCAGUGAAAAUCUUAACCGAUAUCACAGAUUCGAUAUGUUUAUUGUACGCACAAUGCACUUUCUGUUGGACAAAACUGUGACCAAUAGUGUGGUUUUAUUGUCGUAAUGUUGAAGGUGACCGAUUGCUUGCAAUCGGUUUUAUAGCUCAUUACAUGGUAAAAUUGAUGUAUUGGUGAAUUUGCAAUCAGUCAAUAUUGGCAAUAUACGAUACAUGUGAUUUGGUAGUAGACUAGACAUAGACUAUUAUCAAUGUCGUGUGUGUCGUGUAAUGUUGAUGGAUUGGUUUAAAGUCACAGUAUAAUGUAGGUUAUCUACUCGUCCCGUCUUGAAACACGGACCAAGGAGUUUUAUAUGAUCGCGAGUCAAAGGGCUAUACGAAACCCCAGGGCGUAAUUAAUGUGAAAGUUUACUUUAAGUAGACUGUGAUGUGACCUGAUAUUACCUGUCAGUGCAACAUCGACCCGUCUAAAGAUGUUCGCAUCUGGGCGGAGUUUGAGCGAUCAUGUAGAGACCCGAAAGAUGGUGAACUAUGCUUGUGCAGGUUGAAGUCAGAGGAAACUCUGAUGGAGGACCGCCGCGGUUCUGACGUGCAAAUCGAUCGUCGGACAUGAGUAUAGGGGCGAAAGACUAAUCGAACCAUCUAGUAGCUGGUUCCCUCCGAAGUUUCCCUCAGGAUAGCUGGCGUUUGUUGUCGUAGUUUAACCUGGUAAAGCGAAUGAUUAGAAGUAUUGGGGGUGAAAUGCCCUCAACUUAUUCUCAAACUUUAAAUGGGUUCGAUGUGUAGCUCGCUUCAUUGGAGUUACACGUUGAAUACGAAUGCCUAGUGGGCCAUUUUUGGUAAGCAGAACUGGCGAUGUGGGAUGAACCAAACAUUCGGUUAAGGUGCCUAACAUCACGCUCAUGAGAUCCCACAAAAGGUGUUGGUUGAUAAAGACAGCAGGACGGUGGACAUGGAAGUCGUCAUCCGCUAAGGAGUGUGUAACAACUCACCUGCCGAAUCAACCAGCCCUGAAA
rnacentral:rRNA from 1 species